GAAAUGUCAAGGUUCUGCAAUUCUCAUAGAUUCCCAGGAGCUCGAAGUUCCCAAGUACGUCUUCCAGGGAUGAGCGGCACUCCAGACUCCCACGCCAUCCAGGAUACCUAGGGCCACCUGGAACUCCAGGAGACAUUGAGAAGUCCUUCCCCACUCAAGUCUGCCUUUGCAGUGAAGCUGAGGGAUCCCAUCCCAGGCCCCUCCCAGCCCGUUGUCUUCAAGGAAGUGUUGCGUAAUCAUCAGGCCACUUCAAUCUUACCAAGGGGAUGUUCCCCUGCAUGUACCACCUCAAUCUUACCACAGGGAUGUUCACCUGGCACGUACCACCUUAAUCUUACCACGGGGAUGUUCAUCUGCACCUACCACUUCAAUCUUACCACGGGGAUGUUCACCUGGCAUGUACCACUUCAAUGUUACCACGGGGAUGUUCACCUGGCAUGUACCACUUCAAUCUUUCCACAGGGAUGUUCACCUGCCAUGUACUACUUCAAUCUUACCACGGGGAUGAUGUUCACCUGGCAUGUACCACUUCAAUCUUACCGUGAGGAUGUUCACCUGGCACGUACCACUUUGGCUUCAACGUUGAGCCGUUCCAACAUGCUGUAAAAUUAGGGCUCAUGAAGAACAGUACCCAAGUCCUCGAGAAGGAAGCCAACGCCGAGGACAAUUAUAGGCAUGUGUUUGGAACUGUCGUCUUGCAGCUGAUGAUGGGAGAUAGGGUCUGGCUAAAAUCAAAGCUAGAAGCAAAAGAGAAUGAGAAAGGGUUGAUUCAAAGUGUGUUCUGUGGUUAUUUGUUCUAUGCAAUGAUACUGGCUAAGAGUAACCACACACUUCAAUUCCUCAAGUGGGUCUAAAUUUCAGAGCGAAACUCCCCCUUCUCCAGUAUAUUUUUCCCUAAGAUCAUUACAUGCAUAACAUUAAGAGUAACCCAAUUUAUCAAUGUGAAUGUAAUUCCAAAAGCAGUAAAGAUUAAUAAUCCAUUAAUUGGUCAACAACUUCUUAUUGAAAGUCUAUCACAUUUCCAGUAUUCUGCCAUAUCCUAGGAAUUUCCAGGAGAGGAUGUCAGAAAAUCAGAUCUAAUUGGAAGCCUCUUGCCACUUGAAACUGAGGGGACCAGGAAAGUUCUCAUUCCUUUUUGUGAUUAUGUCUGAACAUUUUUCUCCAUACUAAAAAAGUCUUAAUUAUAGCCCCUUCUAUCACUUCAAUUUUACAACUUACAGUACAGCUAGGAAAGCACAUAUCCCAGAGAGAUGAAGAAAAUUUGUUCAAAGUCACAUGAAGUUGUGAAUACAUACUAUUAAAUGCAUAUUUUGCAUUCGAUGAACAGUGCAUAUUUUGGCCACUGUUAGAGCAAGGGGCAAGGGUAUGGUUUGGAGGAGCAGUUUCUAUGGCUUAAUACCCAUAAGACCCUAUUAGUUGCCUACUAAGUAUCCAUUCACCCAUUCUAUGUUUCAAUUUAUUCCUAACAGGUAAGGUUCCUGUUGCAUUUUACAGAUUAAUAAUUCGAGAUUCAAAGAAGUAAUCCUACUUAUUCCCAACCAGAUUGCUAGUUAAAAGCCUGAGACAGGAUUCUAAUCCCAGGUUUCCCAAGAAUCCGAGUUCUUAACCAUAGUGUUUUUGAUUAGUUAAUUGUCAUCUACUCAUUUCUCCAAGCUCUGCCCUUGGCUUUUGCUUUUCAUUUCCAGCUAAGCCUUGGAGUACAGCAACCUACAAGAAGCAACCUUACUCUGGCUGGCAUUUACUCUGUUUGUUCAUUCUCUCCCCUAGAGCAGUAGCCUCAGGAGAUAAUGUCAGAAAAAACAAAUUGUUGGCACCAGGAUCUGCAUACCCCAAUUAACAAAAUGAUGCUUUCCACCCACCCUCCUGCAAAUAUUUGAAGCAGGAAACUGCCCCUCUCACAACCUGGGUCAGCCUCCUACCAGCCAUUCUUAAGACAAAAGUCUUUUUCCUUUUAGUGGGUGAACUUUCUCCAGGAGUUCUUUCUGGCACGCCUAGCUGUGGGGUCUAAGGCUUGGACCCGUCUCUGAUCACCCUAUCAAGGCCUUAAGUAAACAGUACAAUAUUGCCUCUUCAGAUAUUUACCCCUGGUACAACCAGCUGCCAGCAACAAGAUUAAUAUUUAACCACAAGGUAGAUUCACCCAUUCUUACUGGCUCUGGAUCUCAGCGUGGAUAGGAUUAUAGACUAUAAUUCCUAGGCCAUUUUUUAGAUUUUCCUUCCAGCAUGUCUGUUCUAGGAGUAGCUGUAUAUAUAAGGCCAAAGUAAAGAGGCCAUGCUACCUCCUACCCUGACUUCUAUUUGAAGAUGUAUUCCUUGUGCUGAACCACAGGUUAGGAGUUAUCACAAACCAUUUUCAGUACCAGAAGUCAAAUGCAGAUCAAAAAGUCUAGAAUUGGAGGCAAUUUCCAAUGAGAAAAAUGUGCAGGAAGAAACUAAGAUUAAGUGCUACAUAUUCAAAACGGUCUAAUAAACAUAAAGCAUGAAAUGCUAAUUAAUGUUAGUUACUGUUUAACAUGCAUGCCAUCUCUUUUAAUCCUCAUAACAACCUUAUAAGGAAAAUAUCUACUAUAUAUUUCAUACAAAGCAAACUAUUUACAUAACAUUCCAAGUUUUUUCCCAUUACCCUUAUUUUGUUCUUUCUGCCUGGAAUUCUUAUGUUCCUGAUCUUUGAUGAACUCAUCCAUUUCCUAAGGUCUAGUUCAAAUGUCUCCUUUAAUAUCUACAUCAAAUAUACAAGUGUAUAAGAAGAAGACUGUUUUACAAGAAGAUAUUAGAAUUUAAUUCUGAGUUGGAGUAGUGGAGCAGCAUUGAACAUAGUAAAGCAGAAGAACUAUAAUUCAACAGUAAAUAAUCCCUGGGUCUUUUCCUGUAAACCAGCACUUGGCCUACAGUGCAAGGCCAAAUAGCACACUGAUGAUUGUCAAAGAUAAGAAUAAAAUUGCUUGACCCACCA